rnacentral:rRNA from 1 species
GUGGAGAAUCUUCCGCAAUGGACGAAAGUCUGACGGAGCAACGCCGCGUGAGUGAAGAAGGUUUUCGGAUCGUAAAGCUCUUUCGUUAGGGACGAACGUGCUCUUUGUGAAUAAUGAGGAGUAAUGACGGUACCUAAAUAAGAAGCCACGGCUAACUACGUGCCAGCAGCCGCGGUAAUACGUAGGUGGCAAGCGUUGUCCGGAAUUAUUGGGCGUAAAGCGCGCGCAGGCGGGAUAUCAAGUCUGUCUUAAAAGUGCGAGGCUCAACCUCGUGAGGGGACAGAACUGGUAUUCUUGAGUGUCGGAGAGGAAAGUGGAAUUCCAAGUGUAGCGGUGAAAUGCGUAGAGAUUUGGAAGAACACCAGUGGCGAAGGCGGCUUUCUGGACGAUGUCUGACACUGAGGCGCGAAAGCCAGGGGAGCGAACGGGAUUAGAUACCCUGGUAGUCC